AGAGUUCGAUCCUGGCUCCGGAGAACGUGGCGGAUGCUUAAAACACAUGCAAGUCGAAGGAAGUCGGUGUUUCCAGUGGCGAACGGGUGAGAACGCGUAAGAAAACCUGCCCUUGGGAGGGUUUUUGUCUAACAACAAAUGGAAAACGGUUGCUAAUACCGUAGGCUGAGGAGCAAAAGGGAGAAAUCCGCCCAAGGAGGGCUCGCGUCUGAUUAGCUAGUUGGUGAGGCAAUAGCUUACCAAGGCGAUGCUCAGUAGCUGGUACGAGAGGAUGAUCAGCCACACGCGGACUGAGACACGGCCCAGACUCCUACGGGAGGGCGCAGUGGGGAUUUCGCAAUGGGGAAAGCCUGACGGGGGCAAUGCCGACGUGGGGUGGAAGCUAGGGUCGUCAAACUUCUUUUUCGGAGAAGAAACAAUGCGGUAUCUGAGCAUAAGCAUAGGAUAACUCUGUGCCAGCAGCCGCGGUAAGACAGAGGAUGCAAGAGUUAUCCGGAAUGAUUGGGAGUAAGGCGUCUGUAGGUGGCUUUUCAAGUCCGCCGUCAUACCAGGGCUCAAACCCUGGACAGGCGGUGGAAACUACCAAGCUGGAGUUACGGUAGGGCAGAGGGAAUUCUCCGGUGGAGCGGUGAAAUGCAUUGAGAUUAGGAAGAACACCAACGGCGAACGCACUCUGCUGGGCGACACUGACACUGAGAGCGGAAAGCUAGGGAGCAAAGGGAUUAGAGACCCCAGUAGUCCUAGCGUAACGAUGGAUACUAGGUGCUGUGCGACUCGACCGUGCAGUGCUGUAGCUAACGCGUUAAGUAUCCCGCCUGGGGAGUACGUUGCAAGAAUGAAAAUCAAAGGAAUUGACGGGGGCCGCACAGCGGUGGAGCAUGUUGUUUAAUUCGAUGCAAGCGAAGAACCCUUACCAGGGCUGAAUGGCCGCGAAUCCUCUUCAAGAGAGGGGUGCCUCGGGACCGCGGACACAGGGGGUGCAUGGCUGUCGUCCGCUCGUGCCGUAGAUGUUGGGUUAAGUUCCGCCAACGAGCGCAACACUCGUGUUUUAGGUUGCCCAUAUGAGUUGGAACCCUGAAACAGACCGCCGGUGUUAGCGGAGGAAGGAGAGGAUGAGCCAAGUCUAGGCCCCUUAUGCCCUGGGCGACAAAGUGCUACAAUGGGAGGCGGACAAAGGGUCGCGAUCUCGCGAGGGAUGAGAAAUCGAUAUCAAAAUCAAAAAGAUGUACAAGCCAAUUUCUCGAUGUCAAUAGAAGCCAAAAGAGGUGCAUAUGGUACCCAAAUAAGGAUAUGAUGAUUAUGUCAAAAAGGUCUGAUUCCACCUAUUCCUAAUCCUAAAUAGAAUGUAAGGACGUAGGGAU
rnacentral:rRNA from 1 species